GAUUUGUAGGGGCUUGUGUUCUGAUGGUGGGGGUGGAGCCGCCGGCGCCGCCCUCGCGGACGCCCAUCGCCGCGCGGCUGGCGGCCCGCGGGGUCAGGCCGAGGAGGGUCUCCGCCAGGCGCUCCUGGCCGCCCGGCUGCGGCCGCUUCCGCGCUGCUCCGCCUGCCCCCGAGGCCGGCGACGGCGAGAGGGGCGCCACCAAUGGCGUCAUCCAGGGCAGAGUGGAGGAGGCGGCCAGUCACGCGGGCGUUGCCUCGGCGGCGGCCCGGCCUCAACCGGAUACUGAAGGGUUGGCGGAGAGGACGAAGGAGGUUGGAGAUGCAAUCGACGCCGUCGUUGUUUCAUCGGCAGCGUGCAACGGCGACCUCCCUCACGCCCCGCCUCAGCCGGAGACGAUGCCAGAGGAGAGGAAGGAGGGCAGAGAGACACACAUGGACAGGGCCGGUGUUUCCCCCGUGGUGUGCAACGGUGACCUCCCGCACGCCCUGCCUCAGCCGGAGACCGAGGGGAUGGUGCAGAUGAGGAAGGAGGGUGGAGAGGCACACAUGGAUACUGCCGAUGUUCCCUCUGUGGCAAGUAACAGAGAUCUUCCACACACGCCGCUUCAGCCGGAGACCAUGGUGGUGGUGAGGAAGGAAGGUGGAGAGGCGCAAUCGUCCAGCGGUGGCGAUGCCCGCGGUCAGGCAGAAAGCAGCGCGAUCGAGGUGAUGCCGCUGGCGUUUGCUGCCCCGAAGAGUUUUGCUGUUGCUGCUGCCAAUGGUUCCGUCGAGAAUGGGGGAGAUGGGGCUGAGUCAUUGCUGAUGGAGGGGAACAGAGGCCUGGGGAGUGGUCGAUUGGUCAGGGAGGAGGAUGUGGCUGGCAAUGGCAAUGGCAGUGUGAUGGAAAACAGAACGGGUAAUGGUGAAUUGGAGAGAAAAGAGGAUGGGCAUGAUACAGUGAGAAAGAAGAGGUGGUUGAUGUCUGCUGUAAAUCCCCCUCCCAAGAGGAGGGCCAUCUCAGCUGUACGCAAUUUUCCACCUGGCUGUGGGAGGGAUGCUGUUACUGGAACUGGCAGCAGAGUUGAGGAAGGGUCAGUAUUGGAAGCCACGCCUAUCAGUUUCGCUACAAGGGGCGCCUCUGUAGUGGAUGCCUUGACCACGGCUCCAGUUUCAGGUCAUGGUGCUUCCUCGAUGGUCGUGAGAGAUGCUUCCAGUGAGGAGGUGCAAGGCAAAAGAGCAGAGGUUGUAGGAGCGGGUGAUGGUGAGGUGAGAGGCAAAUUCGAUGGAAGCUUGCGGAAAGGUACUCCUAAGACUUAUGUGAGAAGUCGUUUUGUUGAUGCAAAGACAAAGGGCAAACGACCAAAGAAUGUCGCAAUGAAUGAUACAUUGCGAGAUGAUGUUGGGGUCUCUGGAGACGGCACGCUGAAAAACAGGAAUUCAAGAGAUGAUGUGCGCUCAAAUAGUAACACGGAGCAUGGCGUUGUGAAGUUGAAGAGUUAUGGCAUAGGCAAGGACUCUUUGAUCAGCUCUUCUAAGGAGUCCAAGUGUGGAAAUCAUGAUAUGACCAAUCAAAGUGAAGAAACCGAUGAUUUGACCUUAAUUAGUGACAAGCUAAUCGUACAAGCAUUGAUGGCUCCAGACAAAUGCCCAUGGACAAAAGGAAGGAAGUCUAAUGCUAGUGCUUCCAACUCUCUUACUCCUAGGAACAAGUCUCUUCCUCCUAAGAAACCAAAGAAAAAGGACGCUACUCCAAGGAAAGAAUUGCCCCCCAAAGUGACACCUUCUACAUCGGCCGUGCAUGAGAAAAUUGAGCAUGGAGAGUACUCUUGCUUGGAAGAUGAUGACAACCCUAUGGCAUUAGUUGUCCCUGAAAGGAAAGAAUUGUGUGUCACUCUCCCUCCUUGUGCUCCUUUUGGGGACCAAAGUGUUGAUGCUCGAAGCAAAGUUAGGAAGUUGCUCAAGUUGUUCCAGUUGAUAUGUCGGAAGCUUAUGCAAGCCGAGGAACAACAAUUACGUAAUGUUGGAAGGAUUGACCUUGAGGCCGUUGAAGUUCUAAAGAAGUAUGAUGGAUAUUCUAAACCUGAUGCUAUCGUGGGCAAUGUUCCCGGUGUUGUUGUUGGUGAUGAAUUUCAUUUUAGAGUUGAGUUGUCGAUAGUUGGACUACAUAGGAUAUACCAAGGUGGCAUUGACUCCGCCAUUGUGGAUGGUACCCGCAUUGCAAUAAGCAUUGUCGCUUCCGGUGGGUAUCCCGAUGAGUUGUCUAGCUCGGACGAGUUAAUAUAUACCGGCUCCGGAGGUAAAGCCACCGGCAAGAAGGAGGCAGAGGAUCAAAAGCUUAAGGGUGGUAAUCUUGCCUUGAAGAAUUGCAUCAAAACUAAGACUCCGGUCCGAGUGAUUCAUGGGUUCAAAGGUCAAAGUAGAAGUGAAGUUGGGCAUUCUAAAUCCAAGCAAAUAUCGACAUACACUUAUGAUGGGUUAUAUGUGGUGAUGGAUUGUUGGCAAGAAGGAGCAAGUGGCUCGAUGGUCUUCAAGUACAAGUUAAAAAGGAUCCCGGGUCAACCUGAAUUAGCUUUACACAUAGUCAAGGAAACAAGGAUGUCUAAAGUUCGUAAAGGUCUUCGCUGUCCUGAUAUAUCUCUAGAGAAAGAAAGGAUUCCCAUAUGUGUGAUCAACACAAUUGAUGACGCGCAGCCAACACCAUUUGAGUAUAUCACCAAAGUCAUAUAUCCACCGUCGUAUGCAAAAGAACCUCCGCAAGGCUGUGAUUGCACCGACGGUUGCUCGGACUCUAGUAGAUGUGCUUGUGCAGUGAAGAAUGGAGGAGAAAUCCCAUUCAAUUUUAAUGGUGCAAUUGUUCACGCAAAGCCGCUCAUAUAUGAGUGUGGCCCAUCUUGCAGGUGCCCUCCAACAUGCCACAAUAGGGCGAGCCAGCAUGGUAUCAAAAUUCCGCUGGAAAUAUUCAAGACUGGGGAGACAGGUUGGGGUGUAAGAUCUCUCAGUUCUAUCUCUUCAGGCAGUUUCAUAUGCGAGUAUGCAGGUGAGCUAUUGCAAGACACAGAAGCUGAAAAGAGAGAGAACGAUGAGUACCUGUUUGAUAUUGGUCAUAACUACGAUGAUGAAGAACUUUGGAAGGGGCUUCCAUCGAUGAUUCCAGGUUUAGAAUCUUCUACCUCUGAGACAAUGGAGGAGACUGUGGGCUUCACAAUAGAUGCUGCAAAGUGCGGUAACAUCGGAAGAUUCAUCAACCAUAGCUGCUCCCCAAACCUGUAUGCCCAAAAUGUCCUCUGGGACCAUGAUGACAAGAGGAUGCCGCACAUUAUGUUUUUUGCUGCUGAGAACAUUCCUCCGCUUCAAGAGCUGACUUACCACUACAAUUAUACAAUAGGUCAAGUCCGUGACAAGAAUGGUGUGGAGAAGGUAAAGGAGUGCUUGUGUGGUUCCGCUGAUUGCUGUCACAGGCUUUACUAAGUUAUUGGUUUUCGGUGACUGGCGAUGUUAAUGUUCGUAUCCGAUGGAAAUCAGUCCUAUAAUGGCAGUGCUCACUCGCUUUACCUCUGGUGACCUUGCACUCGCUGACGACAUGUAGUGUUUAUUUUCUGUGCCAGUUGAACUAUUAUUUGUUACUGCAUUUUGAAGAACAUAUAAACUCCAAUAGCUGACCCUUUUUGGGUGUUUGGGAGACUUUGAAAGAGUAGUAUGAAGUGUCCAGAAUCAAGCAUUUUGGCGUUGCACAUUCUCCUGUUGAAAUCUUCACAUGGACCUGGAGGAUACAAAUAUGCAAUGAUUAGCUUGUAUGGAGCUUUGCACUGAACAUGCUACUAGUAGUAGGACUAAAGAUGGUGGCUACAAGUGCUCGGAGCUGUGUCGACUUCCAGUUGCGAUGCCGGGGACAGACUGAAUGAUAAAUUGCUUCUGCACAAGGACUGCCCUGCAUCAUUUUGCUCAACUGUGGAUCGCAAGGCUGUAGCAAGCUGCCGAUAGAAGUUGUGGGUUCAUGCCCCUUUUUUUGUCUUUAUAAAAAUGAAUUUUGUGGAUCCAAUAGUGAGCUGCCCUGUCUUAAAGAGUUGCAGCUCUUCCUGCAUGUAAAGUUUUCAGUGUUGGUUUGGACCAUCAGAUAGACUUGCUGGAGUUGUUUCUCAGAUGCUACCAUGCAACUUCAGGAAAUAUAGAACAUUCCUACUAUUCCCA
rnacentral:rRNA from 1 species